AACAGCGGUGGAGAUGUAGCCAUCGGACAGCCCCAACUCCCCUGUUCCGCGAGGGGAGGACGGGGGCGGCGGAUGCGAGGGAGACCCGUGGGCCAAUACGCGCGGAAAGAAACAAAAUUACCCGUUCAAUUUAAAAAAAUGGAUUGAGCCGGUGGGACGUCACGAUGCCCCGUCGCCAAAAAGCUCACUACGUCGCUCACGAACGCGCUCAUUUGGCUCUCAGUCCGGAGGGACCGCUGGUUACCAGGAGCUCAUCCAAGACCCGUGCAACCCACCCUUCUGCACCCGAGGAGGGAAACAAAAAUGACACACACAAGCGCCGGAAGUGAAGAUGAGGGCGUACUCCAACCUCCAGGUGUGUUGGAGGCACUGUUCGUGUGUGUUUGCUGCUGACAGAGAGCUGUGUUCGCAGGCCUGAGGGGUUGUCUGUUAUCUUUGGUUAUCUAGCUGUAUGAGUGGCAUACAUUCUUCAUAAAGCUAGAUAACCGAAAGUAACAAGAAUCCCAUUACACGCCUGCACGGUGGAAGAAAACUAGAUGAAAAGGACGAGAAGAACUGUCAAACGAUGACGUGAAGGUUCCUAAUUGGUCCGAAGUUGGAAAUCAUCAGAUCUUUGCCUCUUUGCUCUUUUGGACUCUGACUUUAAGGCCAGUGUUGUUCGUCCUACACAUGACGACUAUCUUUAACCGCUAAUAUACACCAGGAAACACCCCGUCUCCAUGUAAAAACAGUUAGAAGCAAGAUUACAUGAGAUCAUGGAACAAGAGGACAAACAUUUGACCCAUGAAUAAAUUGCAAAGGUGAUCAUUGUGUGUGUUUUGCGUUGCUGGAGGGUUGUCUUGUGGUUGUGCGGUGCACAGCUGUUCAGGAAACAUCUGGACUACAUUUUCAUGUAUGGCGGAGCUGAGAUCUCUCUCAAACACGCAAACACACUCUCAAUCAUCCAAGGUUCAAACUAAUUUUAGAUUAGAAGAUGAUAAAAAAUAGUAGUUGUGGGGUUCUUAUAGUAAAUAUGCAUUAGUUUCACAUUGUAUUAUUCUUCAGAGAAUCUUAUCUUAGAUCUUAAAUCAUAGAAUUUAAACUGUAUUAGUCAUAUUUUAAUUGAUAUUUGUAACUAUUUGAAUAAGCAAUAAGAUGUGUACAUUUCUGUCAUAUAAAAUGCUUGAUGUUUCAAUCUAAUGGUUGACAAUCAGUGUGAUUGGUUUACAUUUUUUUUCCAUUAGGGAUGUCAAAAUAGUCUCUUGGAAUUUAUCCGUCAACUAUAAAUUGUAUAAUAAUAAUCUCAUUUUUUAAAACUUUUUUACAUUUAACCAUCUCAUAUUAGAGCAUUUUGUUUUGUUCUCGUAGAGUUCUUUCCAAGGCUUUGUUUUUUUUUAAAGAAAAUAUGUUACAAUUUUUAGGGUACACAUUUAAUCAAUAGCACUAUUAUCCCUGCAGGAAGCGUUUUUGUGCAAUCAAAACUACAUUAUGUAAAUGUUUUUCCUCUAUGCAAAAAUAUUUUUUUGCACUCUUUGUUGUGUUUGCACAGUAAUUGUCUUGUUGAGUUUUCACAUUAGCAAUGUUCUGUUGGUGUGAGAGAAUUGUGAUGUUAAUAUGCACUAUAUGAGCAUAAGUGCAAUAACUGUUGAAAUGUGUUUAUCUGGAGGUUCAAUGAGAAACUUUAUUCUGUCAAUUUAGUCAGUAAAUGCACAAGCAGAUUUAUUUACACAUUUAAUUUUUUUUAAUCAGUUCCUCGGUUAAUAUAAUAUUAAUAUGUGAAUGCAUGGGAUUCUCUUUUGAUCCAUUGUGGAUACCUUGUGGAUAUGUGCAAUUGAUUUUUUGCGGUUUGACGACUAUUCAGAGGGAAUAAUUCAUUAUAUUAUAAUGCACUAUGGAUGACACACCAGCUGCUGGUAAUGUGCUCCACAUCUGUACUAUGCAACCGUUUCACCUGCAGUUUAUUUGAAACAAUAAAAGUAUUCAUGUUUUGAAUGAGACAAUGA